AGGAAACGAGAGAAGGGCGAAGGGUGGAUACCUUGGCUCAUGGAGGCGAAGAAGGACGUGAUAAGCUGCGAUAAGCCCCGGGGAUCGGCAAAUGCGACUUGAUCCGGGGAUUUCCGAAUGGGGAAACCCACCGCCAGCGGUGGCGGUACCAUUCCUAAGGAAUGGGGCGAACGGGGGGAACUGAAACAUCUAAGUACCCCCAGGAGAAGAAAACAAAAGUGAUUCCGCAAGUAGUGGCGAGCGAACGCGGAGAAGCCCAAACCAAGACGGUCCAGGCCGCCUUGGGGUUGUAGGACCGGGCCGUGGGACGAAAGAUUCGUAGCCGAAGGACGUGGAAAAGUCCGGCGAAGAGGGUGACACCCCCGUAGGCGAAACGAACCUGAACCCUACCGGUAUCCUGAGUAGCGCGGGACACGAGGAAUCCUGCGUGAAGCUGGCGGGACCAUCCGCCAAGGCUAAAUACUCCCAUGAGACCGAUAGCGAACAAGUACUGUGAAGGAAAGGUGAAAAGCACUUCGAACAGAAGGGUGAAAAAGAACUUGAAACCGUUCGCCUACAAGCGGUCGGAGCGCGCAAGCGUGACGGCGUGCCUUUUGCAUAAUGAUCCUACGAGUUGCCGUCGUUGGCGAGGUUAAGACGUUAAGCGUGAUAGCCGGAGGGAAACCGAGUCCGAAGAGGGCGCAUAGUCAGCGGGGGCAGACGCGAAACCAAGUGAUCUACACUUGUCCAGGUUGAAGGUCCGGUAACACGGACUGGAGGACCCAACUGGUAAGCGUUGAAAAGCUUUCGGAUGAGAUGAGUGUAGGAGUGAAAGGCCAAUCAAACUUGGAGAUAGCUCGUACUCCCCGAAAUGCCUUUAGGGGCAGCGUCGACACAGGUCCGCAUGAGGUAGAGCGACUGGUUGGAUGCGAGGGCUUCACCGCCUAUCAAGUCCUGUCAAACUCCGAAUGCGUGCGGAUGGCGUGCGGCAGUGAGGGCAUGGGUGCUAAGGUCCAUGUCCUAAAGGAGAAGAAUCCAGACCACCGGCUAAGGUCCCGAAAUUACGGUUAAGUUGAUCUAACGAGGUCCGGUCGCAGAGACAGCUAGGAUGUUGGCUUGGAAGCAGCCAUUCAUUCAAAGAGUGCGUAACAGCUCACUAGUCGAGCGACUGGGCGUGGAUAAUAAUCGGGCAUGAAACCGUAUACCGAAGCCGUGGGACGCGCAAGCGUCGGUAGGGGAGCAUUCCAGCGGCGGCGAAGGUUGUGGGACGACCAUGACUGGAGCUUCUGGAAAAGCAAAUGUAGGAAUGAGUAACGAUAAGGAGGGCGAGAAACCCUCCCGCCGGAAGACUGAGGGUUCCUGAUCAACGCUAAUCGGAUCAGGGUAAGUCGGGACCUAAGGAUAAGCCGAAAGGCGAGGCCGAUGGAAGAAACGGUUAAUAUUCCGUUACUCGGAUAUUGAAUGACGCGGGGACGAAGGAGUGAAAGCGCCGCGGGCUGACGGAAUAGCCCGUUAAAGGGUGUAGGAGCCGAUCGGGAGAGUCAAGUACGCCCGAGAUCCGAACCUGACAGUACGGUCUUCCCUCGGGAAGACUGAUAGCGCGCCUAACCAUACUUCCAAGAAAAACCGCUAAGUACUGAUCAAUGUCCGACUCGUACCAUAAACCGACACAGGUGGUCGGGUAAAGUUUACCAAGGCGCUCGGGAGAUUCGCGGUUAAGGAACUAGGCAAAAUAACCCUGUAACUUCGGGAAAAAGGGUGCUCCCUGCAAUAGUGGGAGCCGCAGAGAAUAGGCUCAGGCGACUGUUUAACAAAAACACAGGGCUAUGCUAAAUCGAAAGAUGACGUAUAUGGCCUGACACCUGCCCGGUGCUGGAAGGUUAAGAGGAGGGGUCACGCAAGGAAGCCCUGAAUUGAAGCCCCAGUAAACGGCGGCCGUAACUAUAACGGUCCUAAGGUAGCGAAAUUCCUUGUCGGGUAAGUUCCGACCUGCACGAAUGGUGUAACGAUCUGAGCACUGUCUCAACCGCGAGCCCGGUGAAAUUGUAGUAUCGGUGAAGAUGCCGAUUACCCGCAACGGGACGAAAAGACCCCGUGAACCUUUACUGCAGCUUAGCGCUGAAUUUGGGCAAGCGAUGUGUAGGAUAGGUCGGAGGCUAUGAAGCGGUCACGCCAGUGGUCGCGGAGCCGGCGUUGAAAUACGACCCUUUGCUUGUCUGGGUUCUAACUCCUAAGAGGAGGACACCGCUUGGUGGGUAGUUUGACUGGGGUGGUCGCCUCCAAAAGCGUAACGGAGGCUUCUAAAGGUACCCUCACACCGAUUGGUAACCGGUGGCAGAGUGCAAUGGCAUAAGGGUGCUUGACUGGGAGGCAGACAAGCCGAUCAGGUAGGAAACUAGAGCAUAGUGAUCCGGUGGUUCCGAGUGGAAGGGCCAUCGCUCAAAGGAUAAAAGGUACUCCGGGGAUAACAGGCUGAUCCCUCCCAAGAGCUCAUAUCGACGGAGGGGUUUGGCACCUCGAUGUCGGCUCGUCACAUCCCGGGGCUGGAGAAGGUCCCAAGGGUUCGGCUGUUCGCCGAUUAAAGUGGCACGCGAGCUGGGUUCAGAACGUCGUGAGACAGUUCGGUCUCUAUCUGUUGCGGGCGUAGGAAAUUUGAGUGGAGCUGACACUAGUACGAGAGGACCGUGUUGGACUGGCCGCUGGUCUAUCUGUUGUGCCGCCAGGUGCAUCGCAGAGUAGCUAAGCCGGGGUAGGAUAAGUGCUGAAAGCAUCUAAGCACGAAGCCAACCACAAGAUGAGAUUUCCCUUGAGGGUCGUCGAAGAAUACGACGUCGAUAGGUCACAGGUGUAAGCGUGGCGACACGUCAGCCGAGUGAUACUAAUUGCCCGAAAGAGUUUCCCCA
rnacentral:rRNA from 1 species